AAUUCAUUCAGCAGGGCCCGGUACCACGGUCUUCGGGUCCCACCACCCCAAAACCCCUAGACCUCUUCAGGUUGUCAAGGGGAGACCAAUUUGGAGACCAGGGCAAUAGUACUGAAGAGAAGGGUCGGGAGUUUGAAUGAGGCUGGUGAGUAGAGUGAAGGGGACAGGUGCUCAGGAUACAAUGAAUCAACAAGACUUGGGAAGAAGUUGGAUAUGGGACAGCGAAGAGCCCAUGAGGACUCUGAGACUAUAAACUUCGAACAGGAAAGAUGGAGGCACAGAUUGUAGAAAUGGGAGGUUUAGGAGGAGGGGUAGGUUGGAGAGGAAAGAUUGUGGCUUCUAUUAGGAUUCUCAGCUAUGGGACAUCCAGAUGGAAAUGUCCAGUAGACAGUGGUGAUGUGAGCCUGGAGCUUGGCAGACAAAUGUGGGCCACAUAUGGGAGUCAUCUGGGAUGUGGGAUGAUCACUGAGCCCUUGCAACAAGGUUAUUAUCUGGGGGGCACUUAGCUAGGGAGAGCAGGGAAGGCGGGAAGCAGGAUCAGCCAAGUUAUUAUCAGGUGGAAGGAGGAGCAGGCAGGAGAAGUGCAUCCUGAAAACCUAGAGGAGACAGUAUUAAGGGGAGAGGAUGAUAGGCUGGGUCCAAAGCAGCACAGAGAUGCAGGAAGAGUGAGGAAAGUUCAUUGGAUUUAGCAAUAGAGAAAUUCCUAGUGGCCCAGAAGAGAGCACUUUCAAUCAGGUGGUGAAGAUGGAAAUCAGAUUGCCUGAGGGUGGAGAAGUGAGUGGGAGGUGAGAAAGUGAUAAGAGGUGAGAGAAUGAUAAAACAGGAGGGAGAGUGAAACCUGGAGGGCUUCCUGGAGGAGGUGAGUUCAGAACUUGAGAGGUGGGCUGCAAAGGAGACACCAGACCUGAGCUUCUCCUUCCAUCUCUUGACCUUCCACCUUCCAGCAGCGGGUAGAGUGCUUCCAUGAGAACCCAAGCGUCCAAGAGCUACUGUGUGACAGUUAUAUCAGCUGGACAAUUACCUUGGUGAGCAGUGGCCCCCCUCUUCGAAAGGGCCACAGAAAGGGCCCCUCUACACUUCCCUCUGGAGACAUGGAAAGGGACACCCAUUGUGGCCUCAAGAAAAAAAUCCUUCCCAGAGACAGAGAGACAUCCUCCUCAGGGACACAGACUUCAAAAGAGACACCUCCCUACACUAUGAGAGUAAGCUCUCCAGAGACAGAGUGACCCUCAGACACACAAAGAGAACUCCAGAGACAAAGAAACUCACUAGAAAGAGUACACAAACAUAGAGAGAUUCCUCCAAGGACAGAGACACCCUCCCAUCAGAGAUAUGAAGAGACCACUCACAGAGACCAAAGCCAUGCCCUCUGCCCACCACUGACAUACGGAGAGACCCUCCAAAGACACAGAAACCCCUCCUCCAAAUGUGGAGAGGUACACUUCCCUUCCUUCCUGCCUGCCUGCCCACCCAAUACGUGCAGGGAGCCGGCUGGGACCCAAGGCCAGCUGGUGAUGAGCCCCGGCCUCUCCCCCACAACUCCCUAGCUGACCCUCUGUCCCCGCUGGGGCCCUCAGAGAGCGAGCCUGCUUGGGAGGCAGCUGCAAAUGCUCUUGACCGUGUCACCCGCCUCUGUCAUCGUCUCCAUGCUGACCUGCUCUUUCAAGAACUGUAGGUCAGUGUCAGGAAGCCUCUGGACCCCUCCCAAACUGACUAGAAAAUGGGGACCUGAGGGUUGUGACAAUGGUUACAUCAGGAUCACGCCGAGAUCUAGCUGAGCCAGAGACUGGACUAAGACAAAGGAAGAAAGGAAAGAAAGGGGAAGGAGCAGAAUGGAGGGAGGAGAUCGAUGUUGACACAGAGGGCCCAGCUUGGGGAGGGGGAACAUGAACCUGGGUCUCGGCAUAAGCUCCCACAGGCUACCAUUGCCUAUUGACUGCUAUACUCAGGAGUGUGGAGGCCUGUGGCUGUGGCUGGGCCUGCUGCUCCAGGAUGGGUGUGACAUUGUAGGUGCUUUUGUGCCUAAGUCUGUGACUCCAUGUGGAAUGGGUGGGCAUGAAUUAGGUGAGUUUCAGCUUUGGCUACAUGUGUGUGCUCAACCCCUCCCACACUCAUGAAGACAGUGAUGGGCUCUGGGAUCCCCCCCAUUGAGGCUGGAAAGGGGCAGAAUUCCUGGUCCUUCUACCUAUGGGUUCAGUGGCCUGGGUGGGACCUUAAGGGAGCUCUGAGUCAGAUUAACUCUGAUCUCAACUUUCUCUGGACAAUUCCAGCCCCAUUUCUCCAAAGUGAUGUGUCAGAAGUAGCUGACCAGCUCUGAGGCUCUGGAUGACAUUGUAGGGACCCUGGGAGCUCAGGCCUUGGCCCUCAGAAGAAUGCAUGACCAGACUUACCAGGCCUGAUCUUGCCUGCCUGCCCAGCCACUGCCCUCGGCCCCCAGCUCGGCCUCGUGCCCAGCCCUGAGUGCACCUGGGACUCCUACAACCUGCCCUGUGAUGCUGCUGUCCCAACCUGGAAGCCUAUGUCUUCUCCCUUUCCCCCAACAUCUGCUGCUGAGAAAGAUUCUGACCCCAAGGAUGGAUUCUGUCCCUGGGUUUCAAACCAGGUCAUAGAGUAAGGGAUGUCAGAGCUGGGAGAGUCCUCAGAACACGAUGUCAUAGCUGGAAGAACUCUAGGAAAGUGAAAUAUUGGAGCUGGAAGGGCCUUUAGAACAUAGAUCAUUAGAACUGGGAGAACUUUUAGAACACCAAAUGUCAGAAUUGGGAGGAACCUCAGAACAGAGAAGGUCAGUGCUGGGAGGCACCUCAAAACAUAGAAAGUGAAGAAUGAAAAGGAAUUUAGAACCUAGAUCAAUAAUCAAUGAAUAAACAUUUAUUAAGCACCUACUAAGUGCCAGGCACUACACUAAGAGCAUGGACUUAUCAUGGUCGGAAGAUACAUCAGGUCAUGGAGUUUUAUUUCCUCAUAUUAGAGACGGGACAACUGAGGCUCAAGAGUGAGGAAAGGGACUUCUCCCUAGGUCACACAGCAAGCCAGUGGCAGAGCUGGGAGCCAGGGCUUCUCCGGAGUUAGGGUAGGUCCCAUAGAAGUAAUGGAGGCUGUGCCUUGCUCUGCCCAGUCUCCAUCUCUCUUCCCUCUAAAUGUCUUCUUGCAGUGGCUGCUCAUGUAAUAAGGAAUGUAUGAUGAUAAAAUAAAUAUGUUUCUAUUUAACGAGCAA